GGAUAACCUGCCCUUGAGACGGGGAUAAACCCGGGAAACUGGGUAUAAUACCCGAUAGAUCUCGGCUGCUGGAAUGCACCGAGUUCUAAAGCUCCGGCGCUCAAGGAUGGAUCUGCGGCCUAUCAGGUAGUAGUGGGUGUAGCGUACCUACUAGCCUACGACGGGUACGGGUUGUGAGAGCAAGAGCCCGGAGAUGGAUUCUGAGACACGAAUCCAGGCCCUACGGGGUGCAGCAGGCGCGAAAACUUUACAAUGCUGGAAACAGCGAUAAGGGGACCUCGAGUGCCAGGUUACAAAUCUGGCUGUCGUGAUGCCUAAAAAGCAUUGCAUAGCAAGGGCCGGGCAAGACCGGUGCCAGCCGCCGCGGUAACACCGGCGGCUCGAGUGGUAACCGUUAUUAUUGGGUCUAAAGGGUCUGUAGCCGGCCGGAUAAGUCUCUUGGGAAAUCUGGCAGCUUAACUGUCAGGCUUUCAGGAGAUACUGUCUGGCUCGAGGCCGGGAGAGGUGAGAGGUACUUCAGGGGUAGGGGUGAAAUCUUGUAAUCCUUGAAGGACCACCAGUGGCGAAGGCGUCUCACCAGAACGGACCUGACGGCAAGGGACGAAAGCUAGGGGCACGAACCGGAUUAGAUACCCGGGUAGUCCUAGCCGUAAACGAUACUCGCUAGGUGUCGGCCACGGUGCGACCGUUGUCGGUGCCGUAGGGAAGCCGUGAAGCGAGCCACCUGGGAAGUACGGCCGCAAGGCUGAAACUUAAAGGAAUUGGCGGGGGAGCACCACAACGGGUGGAGCUUGCGGUUUAAUUGGAUUCAACGCCGGAAAUCUUACCGGGACCGACAGCAAUAUGAAGGCCAGGCUGAAGACUUUGCCGGAUUAGCUGAGAGUG
rnacentral:rRNA from 1 species